rnacentral:lncRNA from 1 species
CCUGUGAAGAAUGGAUUUGGCUCUCCCCUGAUUGGAACAAUGAAGGACAAAUCACUGCUUCACCCAUUCUUCUGUGGACUCUGCUGCUCCAGUAUUGGUUCUGAGUAAUUUUUAGCUUGCCCUCAAGUCCAAGCACCUCCCAGGUUAAUGAAGAAUUGACCUCUGGCUAUCCUGCCUGUGAUGAGAAAACAUUUAUCUUUUGUAAAAGCUUUGUGUUUGUUGUCAGAAUCUAUAGCAACAUGGAUAACAGGACCUGUCAGUGGAAGAGGACAAGUCUCCACAUGUAGACUCUACCCACCUGUCUUCCCCAAGCCUGUAGACCACAUUUUAUGGGAAACAGGGAAAAGAUUGAACAGCAGUUUCAAACUGAGGAUACUAUCAAUAUUCAUUACAUUUUUAUGUAUUCCUUAACUAUGUAAUAUGUAUAACAUUUUACUAACUUUUCAUUAUAUAUCCUUGUUUUUAUUUGCUACUUAAGAUGUUUUUGAAUUUUAUGUACAAGUAUUUUUCCCUAUUACCUCUUUGG